rnacentral:rRNA from 1 species
AACGAACGCUGGCGGCGUGUCUUAAGCAUGCAAGUCGAGCGGCAAGCAGUAGCAAUACUGCCUAGAGCGGCGGACUGGUGAGUAACGCGUGGGUGAUCUGCCCUUGGGAUGGGGAUAGCCGUUAGAAAUAGCGGGUAAUACCGAAUACGUUCGUCGGACUACGGUCCGAUGAAGAAAGGCGCUUUGGCGCCACCCGAGGAUGAGCCUGCGUCUCAUUAGCUAGUUGGUGGGGUAAAAGCCUACCAAGGCGAUGAUGAGUAGCCGGCCUGAGAGGGUGUACGGCCACACUGGGACUGAGAUACGGCCCAGACUCCUACGGGAGGCAGCAGCUAAGAAUAUUCCGCAAUGGACGAAAGUCUGACGGAGCGACGCCGCGUGGAUGAUGAAGGCCGUGAGGUUGUAAAAUCCUUUUGCUGGGGAAGAAUAACCAUGGGAGGGAAUGCCCGUGGGAUGACAUGAACCGGCGAAUAAGCCCCGGCUAACUACGUG